UUUAUUUCCUCUCUUUCUUCUUUUACUUGAGAAUUUGUAUCUAAAAUGCAAGAAUAGAAAUAUGCAUAGAAAAGAUUAUAUCAUUGAAUACAUAUAAUCAUGAAGACAUGAACCAGAGUGGUUAAGUUGAGUCCUGAAAAUUCAAGGCACCUACGAAACUUCUCCCAAGAUCAUAGGCUAAGUUGCGAUGGUUCCUUGUAGGCAAUCACAAUUAUUAAGUGCAAACACCUUGUUACGUAUCUAACAGAUAACAUGUAACCAACCAAAAAAGGAAAUGACAACAAUAAUGAGGACUCAAAUAUAUCAAUAAUUAUAAUGUCUCCCUGUUGAACUUCACGUAUUUUCCCUUUUGCUGAGGGAUUAAAAAAUCACAUACCAGUUAAGAGUAGCAUAAACGAAUUGCAAUAAAAUCCUCAAAAUAAUCAAAAUUUGAUGGCGGCAACAGAAUCAUUGAAAAUCGGGCUUCUCUGGGUAUGUGCAGCCAGACCUUUGGAUGAUUACAUUUGCUGCNCCAAUAGUUCCUACUGCUGAGACUGUAACUGCAAUGAUCACUGAGGCAUGAUUUUUCUUCUUCUGCUCAUCUAUUAAUUAACCAAAGUAACAAGACAAAUAAGUAAAUAUGAAAUCAUCUGCAUGCACAUAUAUGUAUAAAUAUAAUACACUUACCAAGCUCAGAAGAGGGAACACGUAUAUAAAGAUCGGUUCCUCCCAUUGAGAAUCUCUGUAUGUCAAUCAAGNN
rnacentral:lncRNA from 1 species